rnacentral:lncRNA from 1 species
GCCUGGGAGGGCGGGAAGUUUAACCGUGAGGUGGAACCUGUCAGCUUAAGGAUAGCAUGUUGAUGGUUGGAAAGGCUCCGGUGUUUUUAGAGUCAAAGGGAAAACUCAGUGGUUGAGGAGAGUGUGGAAAAUUUCAUGAAUUAAGAGAGAUGGCAUCUAAAACCUUGCCUGGGGGAUGUGUUUGUUUAGAGGUAUCCAGAAAAUGCCAUUCAUUCAGAAGAGGCCGUCACUUGGUAAGAGGGGCAAUUUAAAAGCUGAGUAGGUAACUGAAAUGGACAAAUCAUGGUGUUAAGACAAUAAUGAUGGGGGUUGUCCCUGGAUUAGAAGACUUGCAAGAUCUGGUCCCUAUGGACUCUUCAAACUGACCGACAAGGCUGCCUUUGAUGAUCAGAUCCCACACCAAGGAGGAAUGACUGGGAGUGAGUAAAGAUUAAACAGG